UCGUAGUCGGAUUUCAGUAGGCUCAGUUUAGUCUUCAUUGUAAGAUCUAUAUGGGCCUGCUUCUUUGACAGAAACUUCUAUGUUAUUCAUUUAGCGUGGGCAGCGACUGUCUCUUUUACUUUGAGAAAAUUAGAGUGUUCAAAGCAGGUAGAUGCCUGAAUAUUACUCUUGGAAUAAUGCUAUAAGACUUUGGUUCUAAUGUAUUGGUGAUUGGGACCAGAGUAAUGAUUGAUAGGGACGGUUGGGGUCUUACGUACUGCAAAGCGAGAGGUGAAAUUCUUGGACCUUUGUAUGACGAACAACUGCGAAAGCAUUGGACUAGGACGUUCCCGUUGAUCAAGAACGAAAGUUGGGGGAUCGAAGACGAUCAGAUACCGUCGUAGUCUCAACCAUAAACUAUGCCAGCUAGGGAUCGGAGGAAGUUAUUGUUUCGACUCCUUCGGCACCUUAUGAGAAAUCAAAGCAUUUGGGUUCCGGGGGGAGUAUGGUCGCAAGGCUGAAACUUAAAGGAAUUGACGGGAGGGCACCACCAGGAGUGGAGCCUGUGGCUUAAUUUGACUCAACACGGGAAAACUUACCAGGUCCGGACAUAGUAAGGAUUGACAGAUUGAAAGCUCUUUCUUGAUUCUAUGGGUGGUGGUGCAUGGCCGUUCUUAGUUGGUGGAGUGAUUUGUCUGGUUAAUUCCGUUAACGAACGAGACCUCAGCCUGCUAAAUAGUGUCAUUUUCUUCUGAAGAUGUGCACUUCUUAGAGGGACUACUUGUGAAACAACCAAGCGGAAGCUUGAGGCAAUAACAGGUCUGUGAUGCCCUUAGAUGUUCUGGGCCGCACAUGGGCUACACUGGUGCAUUCAACAAGCAUUAUAACCUUAGCCGAAGGGUUUGGGUAAUCUUUGAAAUUGCACCGUGCUUGGGAUAGACUAUUGCAAUUUUUAGUCUUCAACGAGGAAUUCCUAGUAAACGCAAGUCAUCAGCUUGCAUUGAUUACGUCCCUGCCCUUUGUACACACGCCCGUCGCUCUACGAUUGGAUGAUUCGGUAAGCUUUUGGGAUUGAUUAUGUAUCUGUCAUGACGGUACAUUUUAACAACUUAUCAAACUAAUCAUCAA
rnacentral:rRNA from 1 species